UAUUAUGAUUGUUCCAUCAUUAAUAUAUAAAUCCAGUGUUACUAAUAACAAUUAACUAAUGUCAAUAUGACUAAUAGUUUUUACAUUCUAUUAAGAUCAUUACUUCAACAAUAUCUGAAUCUGAGCUUUUCAGUUUUAUGUGCAUGCAGGGGUAAAGAAAUCUCUAUUUAUGUUUAUGGAUUAUCUUAUUGCACUAUAUCUUCCACCACUUACUGUGCAUCAUCCUGUCUGCCUAAUUAGUUAGAUUUUUCUUUUUUUAGUUUAUGAAA
rnacentral:misc_RNA from 1 species